GAUAUCAAUGCAGGCCUGAGUAAGAAAAACAGUAUCUUCUUCCUAAGCCAUGGCAUAUCAGUUAUACAGAAAUACCACCUUGGGGAACAGUCUUCAGGAGAGCCUAGAUGAGCUCAUACAGUCUCAACAGAUUACCCCCCAACUUGCCCUUCAAGUUCUACUUCAGUUUGAUAAGGCUAUAAAUUCAGCAUUGGCUCAGAGGGUCAGGAACAGAGUCAAUUUCAGGGGCUCUCUAAACACGUACAGAUUCUGUGAUAACGUGUGGACUUUCGUAUUGAAUGAUGUUGAAUUCAGAGAGGUGACAGAACUGAUUAAAGUGGAUAAAGUGAAAAUUGUAGCCUGCGACGGUAAAAAUACAGACACGUUGGUUUUCCCAACUUCAGUUGGAUGAGAAGUAGCAAAUCAUCCUUAUCUAUGGCAGUGGCUUCUGAGGAGCUUCUCCACUUAGGAUAGUGUAACAAUUGAUCUUCAAUGAAAACCUUGUCAGACACGGGCUCCAAUACUACAGAAUGAAUAGG